CGUAGUGUCUUUCAAUGGCAGGAAACGCGUCUGAUAAGCGUGUAACAGGUGUUCGAUUCACUUCACUACGACCA
rnacentral:tRNA from 1 species